rnacentral:rRNA from 1 species
AGCAGUAGCCACGGUAAUACGGAGGGUGCAAGCGUUAAUCGGAAUUACUGGGCGUAAAGCGUGCGUAGGCGGUUCGUUAAGUCUGUUGUGAAAGCCCCGGGCUCAACCUGGGAAUGGCAAUGGAUACUGGCGAGCUAGAGUGUGUCAGAGGAUGGUGGAAUUCCCGGUGUAGCGGUGAAAUGCGUAGAGAUCGGGAGGAACAUCAGUGGCGAAGGCGGCCAUCUGGGACAACACUGACGCUGAGGCACGAAAGCGUGGGGAGCAAACAGGAUUAGAUACCCCAGUAGUCCCUGUCUCUUAUAC